GUCCACGCCUUAAACGUUGGGUGCUGGGUUUGCGGGGUAUCGACCCCCUGCGAGCCGAAGCUAACGCGUUAAGCACCCCGCCUGGGGACUACGGCCGCAAGGCUAAAACUCAAAGGAAUUGACGGGACCCCGCACAAGCAGCGGAGCGUGUGGUUUAAUUCGAUGCAAAACGAAGAACCUUACCUGGGCUUGACAUGCAAGUGGUACUGAACCGAAAGGCAAGGGACCCGCAAGGGAGCUUGCACAGGUGCUGCAUGGUUGUCGU
rnacentral:rRNA from 1 species